rnacentral:rRNA from 1 species
GACGAACGCUGGCGGUGUGCUUAACACAUGCAAGUCGAACGGUAAGGCCCUUUCGGGGGUACACGAGUGGCGAACGGGUGAGUAACACGUGAGUAACCUGCCCUCAUCUCUGGGAUAACAGUCGGAAACGGUUGCUAAUACUGGAUAUGAGCUUGCAAGGCAUCUUGUGGGUUGGAAAGAUUUUUUUUGGUUGGGGAUGGACUCGCGGCCUAUCAGCUUGUUGGUGAGGUAGUGGCUCACCAAGGCUUCGACGGGUAGCCGGCCUGAGAGGGCGACCGGCCACAUUGGGACUGAGAUACGGCCCAAACUCCUACGGGAGGCAGCAGUGGGGAAUAUUGCACAAUGGACGGAAGUCUGAUGCAGCAACGCCGCGUACGGGAUGACGGCCUUCGGGUUGUAAACCGCUUUCAAUUGUGACGAAGCUUUUUUGUGACGGUAGCAGUAGAAGAAGCACCGGCUAACUACGUG